UGGCGAACGGGUGAGUAACACGUGAGUAACCUGCCCUUGACUCUGGGAUAAGCCUGGGAAACUGGGUCUAAUACCGGAUACGACCAUCUGACGCAUGUCAUGGUGGUGGAAAGCUUUUGCGGUUUUGGAUGGACUCGCGGCCUAUCAGCUUGUUGGUGGGGUAAUGGCCUACCAAGGCGACGACGGGUAGCCGGCCUGAGAGGGUGACCGGCCACACUGGGACUGAGACACGGCCCAGACUCCUACGGGAGGCAGCAGUGGGGAAUAUUGCACAAUGGGCGGAAGCCUGAUGCAGCGACGCCGCGUGAGGGAUGACGGCCUUCGGGUUGUAAACCUCUUUCAGUAGGGAAGAAGCGAAAGUGACGGUACCUGCAGAAGAAGCGCCGGCUAACUACGUGCCAGCAGCCGCGGUAAUACGUAGGGCGCAAGCGUUAUCCGGAAUUAUUGGGCGUAAAGAGCUCGUAGGCGGUUUGUCGCGUCUGCUGUGAAAGACCGGGGCUCAACUCCGGUUCUGCAGUGGUACGGCAGACUAGAGUAUUAGGAGAUGAUCCUGUUAGCGUGANAUGCGCAGAAUCAGAGGACACGAUGCGAAGCAGUUCUGGCAUAACUGACCUGAGGAGCGAAGCUGGGAGCGAACAGAUAAAUACCUGUAUCCNGCCUAACUUGGCAUAGUUGGGCUUCACUUU
rnacentral:rRNA from 1 species